GCCAGUGUGGUGAAAUUUGGAAGACACACCGGGUUUAAGCCCCGGUGACAGAAAUGUCGUGCCGGUUCGAAUCCGGUCACUGGUA
rnacentral:tRNA from 1 species